AUGAACGCUAGCGACAGGCUUAACACAUGCAAGUCGAGGGGCAGCGGGGGUAGCAAUACCCGCCGGCGACCGGCGCACGGGUGAGUAACGCGUAUGCAACUUACCUAUCAGAGGGGGAUAACCCGGCGAAAGUCGGACUAAUACCGCAUGAAGCAGGGGCCCCGCAUGGGGAUAUUUGCUAAAGAUUCAUCGCUGAUAGAUAGGCAUGCGUUCCAUUAGGCAGUUGGCGGGGUAACGGCCCACCAAACCGACGAUGGAUAGGGGUUCUGAGAGGAAGGUCCCCCACAUUGGUACUGAGACACGGACCAAACUCCUACGGGAGGCAGCAGUGAGGAAUAUUGGUCAAUGGGCGUAAGCCUGAACCAGCCAAGUCGCGUGAGGGAUGAAGGUUCUAUGGAUCGUAAACCUCUUUUAUAAGGGAAUAAAGUGCGGGACGUGUCCUGUUUUGUAUGUACCUUAUGAAUAAGGAUCGGCUAACUCCGUGCCAGCAGCCGCGGUAAUACGGAGGAUCCGAGCGUUAUCCGGAUUUAUUGGGUUUAAAGGGUGCGUAGGCGGCCUUUUAAGUCAGCGGUGAAAGUCUGUGGCUCAACCAUAGAAUUGCCGUUGAAACUGGGGGGCUUGAGUAUGUUUGAGGCAGGCGGAAUGCGUGGUGUAGCGGUGAAAUGCUUAGAUAUCACGCAGAACCCCGAUUGCGAAGGCAGCCUGCCAAGCCAUGACUGACGCUGAUGCACGAAAGCGUGGGGAUCAAACAGGAUUAGAUACCCUGGUAGUCCACGCAGUAAACGAUGAUCACUAGCUGUUUGCGAUACACAGUAAGCGGCACAGCGAAAGCGUUAAGUGAUCCACCUGGGGAGUACGCCGGCAACGGUGAAACUCAAAGGAAUUGACGGGGGCCCGCACAAGCGGAGGAACAUGUGGUUUAAUUCGAUGAUACGCGAGGAACCUUACCCGGCCUUGACAUCCCUUGCAGAGGUAUAGAGAUAUAUCCGAGGUUAUCAAGGAGACAGGUGGUGCAUGGUUGUCGUCAGCUCGUGUCGUGAGAUGUUGGGUUAAGUCCCGCAACGAGCGCAACCCUUGCUACUAGUUACUAACAGGUAAAGCUGAGGACUCUGGUGGGACUGCCAGCGUAAGCUGCGAGGAAGGCGGGGAUGACGUCAAAUCAGCACGGCCCUUACAUCCGGGGCGACACACGUGUUACAAUGGCGUGGACAAAGGGAAGCCACCUGGCGACAGGGAGCGAAUCCCCAAACCACGUCUCAGUUCGGAUCGGAGUCUGCAACCCGACUCCGUGAAGCUGGAUUCGCUAGUAAUCGCGCAUCAGCCAUGGCGCGGUGAAUACGUUCCCGGGCCUUGUACACACCGCCCGUCAAGCCAUGGGAGCCGGGGGUACUUGAAGUCCGUAACCGCGAGGAUCGGCCUAGGGUAAAACUGGUGACUGGGGCU
rnacentral:rRNA from 1 species